rnacentral:rRNA from 1 species
CCUACGGGAGGCAGCAGUGGGGAAUUUUGGACAAUGGGCGCAAGCCUGAUCCAGCCAUGCCGCGUGCAGGAUGAAGGCCUUCGGGUUGUAAACUGCUUUUGUACGGAACGAAAAGACUCUGGUUAAUACCUGGGGUCCAUGACGGUACCGUAAGAAUAAGCACCGGCUAACUACGUGCCAGCAGCCGCGGUAAUACGUAGGGUGCGAGCGUUAAUCGGAAUUACUGGGCGUAAAGCGUGCGCAGGCGGUUAUAUAAGACAGAUGUGAAAUCCCCGGGCUCAACCUGGGAACUGCAUUUGUGACUGUAUAGCUAGAGUACGGCAGAGGGGGAUGGAAUUCCGCGUGUAGCAGUGAAAUGCGUAGAUAUGCGGAGGAACACCGAUGGCGAAGGCAAUCCCCUGGGCCUGUACUGACGCUCAUGCACGAAAGCGUGGGGAGCAAACAGGAUUAGAUACCCUGGUAGUCCACGCCCUAAACGAUGUCAACUGGUUGUUGGGUCUUCACUGACUCAGUAACGAAGCUAACGCGUGAAGUUGACGCCGNGGUGGUACGCGCGAGUAGUUAAGUUACAANAGAGUUGNGGCGNGAGAGNGCGACGGACGACGACGAGGGAGGAGG